rnacentral:rRNA from 1 species
CGGGGUGGAGUAAUGUCUGGGAAACUGCCCGAUGGAGGGGGAUAACUACUGGAAACGGUAGCUAAUACCGCAUAAUGUCUGCGGACCAAAGCGGGGGACCUCCGGGCCUCGCGCCAUCAGAUGAACCCAUAUGGGAUUAGCUAGUAGGUGAGGUAACGGCUUACCUAGGCGACGAUCCCUAGCUGGUCUGAGAGGAUGAUCAGCCACACUGGGACUGAGACACGGCCCAG